rnacentral:rRNA from 1 species
GGACAACAAUUAGAUCAU